UACGUAGGGGGCAAGCGUUGUCCGGAAUCAUUGGGCGUAAAGCGCGUGUAGGCGGCCCAGUAAGUCCGCUCUGAAAGCCCGGGGCUCAACCCCGGGAGGCGGGUGGAUACUGCUGGGCUCGAGUCCGGAAGAGGCGAGUGGAAUUCCUGGUGUAGCGGUGAAAUGCGCAGAUAUCAGGAGGAACACCGAUUGCGAAGGCAGCUCGCUGGGACGGUACUGACGCUGAGACGUGAAAGCGUGGGGAGUAAACAGG
rnacentral:rRNA from 1 species